GUUUUUGUAAAAGUAAAGAAAUAGGUUAGCAGUUCCCUUGACAAAAAUGGAAAAACUCCUGGGGACCUCUAUCACACAUGUACAUUUAAGGUGUCACUACCUCUUUUGUAGCACCUCACAGUAUUUUUU
rfam:Fukomys damarensis contig86555, whole genome shotgun sequence.